rnacentral:rRNA from 1 species
AGAGUUUGAUCCUGGCUCAGGAUAAACGCUGGCGGCGUGCCUAACACAUGCAAGUCGAACGCCCUCGGGCAACCGAGGGAGUGGCGGACGGGUGAGGAACACGUGGGUACCUACCCUUCAGUGAGGAAUACCGGCGAGAAAUCGCCGACAAUACCGCAUACGCUUCUUCGGAAGCAAAGCUCGCAAGAGCGCUGAAGGAU